rnacentral:ncRNA from 1 species
GAAAGCCGUGUGCGGGAGAACUGCAUGCACGGUUUGAGGCGGCGGGGACUGGAAACGGAGCGUUACGCAACCGCGC